rnacentral:rRNA from 1 species
CAGGCUUAACACAUGCAAGUCGAGGGGCAUCAGGAAGAAAGCUUGCUUUCUUUGCUGGCGACCGGCGCACGGGUGAGUAACACGUAUCCAACCUGCCCUUUACUCGGGGAUAGCCUUUCGAAAGAAAGAUUAAUACCCGAUAGCAUAAUGAUUCCGCAUGGUUUCAUUAUUAAAGGAUUCCGGUAAAGGAUGGGGAUGCGUUCCAUUAGGUUGUUGGUGAGGUAACGGCUCACCAAGCCUUCGAUGGAUAGGGGUUCUGAGAGGAAGGUCCCCCACAUUGGAACUGAGACACGGUCCAAACUCCUACGGGAGGCAGCAGUGAGGAAUAUUGGUCAAUGGGCGGUAGCCUGAACCAGCCAAGCAGCGUGAAGGAUGAAGGCUCUAUGGGUCGUAAACUUCUUUUAUAUAAGAAUAAAGUGCAGUAUGUAUACUGUUUUGUAUGUAUUAUAUGAAUAAGGAUCGGCUAACUCCGUGCCAGCAGCCGCGGUAAUACGGAGGAUCCGAGCGUUAUCCGGAUUUAUUGGGUUUAAAGGGAGCGUAGGUGGACUGGUAAGUCAGUUGUGAAAGUUUGCGGCUCAACCGUAAAAUUGCAGUUGAUACUGUCAGUCUUGAGUACAGUAGAGGUGGGCGGAAUUCGUGGUGUAGCGGUGAAAUGCUUAGAUAUCACGAAAAACUCCGAUUGCGAAGGCAGCUCACUGGACUGCAACUGACACUGAUGCUCGAAAGUGUGGGUAUCAAACAGGAUUAGAUACCCUGGUAGUCCACACAGUAAACGAUGAAUACUCGCUGUUUGCGAUAUACAGUAAGCGGCCAAGCGAAAGCAUUAAGUAUUCCACCUGGGGAGUACGCCCGGCAACGGUGAAACUCAAAGGAUUUGACGGGGGCCCGCACAAGCGGAGGAACAUGUGGUUUAAUUCGAUGAUACGCGAGGAACCUUACCCGGGCUUAAAUUGCAGUGGAAUGAUGUGGAAACAUGUCAGUGAGCAAUCACCGCUGUGAAGGUGCUGCAUGGUUGUCGUCAGCUCGUGCCGUGAGGUGUCGGCUUAAGUGCCAUAACGAGCGCAACCCUUAUCUUUAGUUACUAACAGGUCAUGCUGAGGACUCUAGAGAGACUGCCGUCGUAAGAUGUGAGGAAGGUGGGGAUGACGUCAAAUCAGCACGGCCCUUACGUCCGGGGCUACACACGUGUUACAAUGGGGGGUACAGAAGGCAGCUAGCGGGUGACCGUAUGCUAAUCCCAAAAGCCUCUCUCAGUUCGGAUCGAAGUCUGCAACCCGACUUCGUGAAGCUGGAUUCGCUAGUAAUCGCGCAUCAGCCACGGCGCGGUGAAUACGUUCCCGGGCCUUGUACACACCGCCCGUCAAGCCAUGGGAGCCGGGGGUACCUGAAGUGCGUAACCACGAGGAUCGUCCUAGGGUAAAACUGGUGACU